AGCAGCCGCGGUAAUUCCAGCUCCAAUAGCGUAUAUUAAAGUUGUUGCAGUUAAAAAAGCUCGUAGUUGAAUUUCGGGAUUGACGUGAUGGUCAUGCCUUAAGGGGUAUGAACUGUUACAGUUGAUUUCUCACCUUCUGGAGAAACUUGAUGUCCUUUAUUGGGUGUCUUGCGGAUCCAGGACCUUUACCUUGAAAAAAUUAGAGUGUUUAAAGCAGGCAUUUUUGCUCGAAUACAUUAGCAUGGAAUAAUAGAAUAGGACGGCAUGGUUCUAUUUUGUUGGUUUCUAGGAUCACCGUAAUGAUUAAUAGGGAUAGUUGGGGGCAUUAGUAUUCAAUUGUCAGAGGUGAAAUUCUUGGAUUUAUUGAAGACUAACUACUGCGAAAGCAUUUGCCAAGGAUGUUUUCAUUAAUCAAGAACGAAAGUUAGGGGAUCGAAGACGAUCAGAUACCGUCGUAGUCUUAACCAUAAACUAUGCCGACUAGGAAUCAGACGAUGUUAAUUUUUAAUUGACUCGUUUU
rnacentral:rRNA from 1 species